ACUUAUAAUAUUUGCCUUCUCAACUGUGGGAUUACAAAUUUAUUUAAAUGUUUAAUUUAGAUUCCAAUGUAAUAAUAUACAAACUGAAGAAGUUAUAUACAUUGUGUUUAGCAUUUAUGGUGAAGAUGAUGACAUCAGAUGAACGAUUCUGUUUAACAAAGUUUGUAGCACGAGGUCCCUGCCAGUUCCUGUUCUCUUAUUGUAAGUGAAAUGAGCCAGACGACGGAGACUCUUGCCUUUUGUUUGUAAUUGCUCUUGAUGCCCCUGCCCCAAUCUUUGGGCAGUUAGGCUGAUUAGAUUAGGAGUGGUUAAAUGGGGAAGGAUGCUAUACCUGAAUACUUAAUUUGCAUGCUUUAAGGUCAUCACCCAGGUGCUUUGUUUCCAUUCCUAAGCACUGCCCCCUAAAUGUAUUUAAACUACAAUGUAUCACUGCUUUAGUUGAGAUUUUCGAUGACUACAGCUACCAACAGCUUGUGUUCUCAAUAAAAGAAUCCUGCUGAAGAUACGACCCGAAGUCUCCAUGGUCUUCACUUCUGAGUUGCCUAAACUUUAGAAGAUAAAAGUUCACAACAGGACUCUAUGGCUGUGCAGUAAAAUUCACUUUAUAGAUAUACUUUUCAUUCAUGAAGAUGAAAUGAAAGAAAUGUGUCUCCUAGCGAAAAACAAAUACUUUUAAGAUGAAAAUGUUAUUAAAUUAUCAUUAUAACUAGUAGAUGGCAGCAGAGGAUCACUCAUUAGCUCAGCUGCCAUUUCAACUCCAAAUCUGUGUGCUUUUAUUGUACUGAAGUAUAAAGUAUAGCAAGUGCAGGAAUCACAAAGUCUCAUGUCAUUUUAUAAAUAAAUAAAUAUGCCCCGACACCAACAGCAUAUAAGGGAGAAUUGUAUAAACUAGUUAACUAAAAAUUAAAUAAGUUCAUUAUUAAUGGUAUAACAAUUAAAUAAUGCAUUAAAUAUUUUGAAAUAUUUUUAAUUUAAUUUAUUAACUACAUUUUUUAAGUUUUAUCUUUAACUGUAAAAGCUGCUAAAUAUAUUCAGUCAGCACAGACUUGUUACUGUUGUAGUUUUGCUACUCUAAAUUUAGUCUGAAUCACUUAAUGCACAGCUAUAUUUUGACAUUGGCUUGUCUUCCAUUAUCAAUGUCAAUCAUAGCAAUGAGUCCCUGAACAAUUUAGCAGAUUUACCCGCGUAAUAUUUAACACCCGCGUUUGUCAUUCCUGAAAUGGUAUACGUGGACGUUUGGUCCUCUUGGAUAAACAAAAAUUUUCUUCAAAUUGUGAAUGGAUUUUGUACAGAAACUAAGCAAAGGGUGCGCCUCUUACAGCACAGUACAACUGACUGGAAAUGACGGAGCUGGCUCAUCUAAAACCAGGAAGUAAUUGUGCAUAUGGUCAAUUGACAGAGCAUUAUUGAUUGCUUUGAAAUAUAUUGGAUACAGUAUUUUUCAUACUUUUCCCCGGUUUUCCCUUAACUGAAUUGGAUGUGUUUUUUCUCUCUCUCUCUCUUUUUACAUUAAACACAAACUGAACUUUAUUACAUUUAUCGCAUGAAAUGAACAGUAUUAUACACCUCAAAGGGAAAUUAAACUGAUUUACGAUAUCAAAUUCUACUUACUGUUUGAUGUUUUAUUGCUUUGUGUUGUGAUGUGAUUGUAUUUGCUAUUAUUAUUGUUAUUGUUGUUAUUGUUGUUACAGUAAAGUGUUAUUUUUUAUAUUCAACUUCUGUUCUCCUGGUAUAAGCUUCAUAUCUUCCUCCCCAAUUCUAGAACUGGUCUAGUGGAUAUUUGCAUUGGAGGAUGCAAUACAGUAUGUAUGUGUGUGUGUGUGUGUGUGUGUGUGUGUGUGCGUGUGUGUGUGUGUGUCAUCAAUCAAUUAUCAGUGGCUUAAAAUUUUUACAUUACAUGCUACAUCAGGGUGAAUUUAAGCAAACUGCAAGUACAGUGUAAGUACUACAAAUACAGUGGAAAAGUGCACCUUUAGAAUAUAAAAAAAAAAAAUCCGGUUCCUACAGGAUAUUUAUGUCUUGUCCUAUAGGACUAUUCCUAUCGGAAUCCUAUAGGAAUGGUUCCAAAAUACGAUAGAAAUUCCAAUUAAAAUCCUAUACAAUUGUCCUAUUGGAAUCCUACAGGAUUUUUUGACAAGGGUUACUUCUCUGCUACUUAUAUCUCUAUAUACAUAAGACAUUGCUUGUCGCUAGGCGUUUGGGAAAAUCUCCAAAGGGUCUGAAAGUUGUUAUCUAGCAAUAAGUUGCAUAUUUGUUAAAGGGUCAUGAAACCCCAGACUACUUUUUCUGAGAUUUUAGCAGAGGUGUUUGUGUUGCACAUCAUAAGACAAUGUUAGCAUCCGAUCAUUUUAACUGUUUGAGCAAACUGGUUAAUUUUAAGCUUUUUUUGUGCUAUUUUCAUCUUCCGGGUUUAAAAUCUACAUUGUGUUGACGUCACAGUCUGUGACGUAGCAAUGGACUAUAAUACAUCGAUGACGCGUCGGCGUCUAUUACAUUCUUAUCCCAUGAGAGGAUGUUUCGCUUAAUUAUUCACUGCGUACAUUAAUUGAGAGAAACAUUCAUGGAUCGAAGGAGAGCGUUUGUUUUUGCUUUGUAAUAAGAGUUUGGCACAAACGCGAUUCAUUCACUUAGUGAGUGUAACCGUUUUUACAGCUCCGUGACACAAACCGUCAAAAGGCUUAUAUAAACGCAGCAGAAUAAGCCUAAAAAUGUAUCAGAGGUGCAACAGCAUGUUCAUAUAUAUGUUUUCGAUACAGAGUGCAAAUGGCUGUGCAUUUAUUUGCGUUUUUAACUCGAUGGGAGCGAAAUUAAACUGUCUGAACCUGAAGCGGUGUAUGUUGUCUGUCUCCUCUCUCCCCUCCGCUGCGCACCACGCCCACUUUUUUGGCAUUUUUUAAAACUGUGGUGAGAACUAACCAGUGCUGAAACAGGGGGUUUCAUGACCCUUUAACACCGAUUGGAGGAGUACAGCAUACAGAGUGGCUGAUAAUUUAUGAGCCAGUUGCUGAUGGAUUAAGUUCCCAGCAAACAAUGACCUGGGCAGCACAAAUUCAGCGGCUUAAUACGGGCGGACCACCGUCGGCACACCAUCGGCGAGCCGACCAAUCUAAAAACGCUUUCGGUCAGCCGGCAUUUUUUGGGUGGCACGCCACCAGCGUUUUGCCGCAGCUGGGCCUCCGUCGGUGCACCAGUGGCAAGCGGUUCGGUACUGUGUUUCUACUGAGCUCUUACAUGACAUCUUUGUUUUAUAAAUUAUAUAUAUUACAUUUAUGUGUUACAUUACAUUUUUACAGUUAAAAGGAAUCUGAAGCACUGAAUAAAAAUAGUGAGAGUUAUAAUUAUUAACAAAAGUUUAGUAUAAAAACUGCAAGCACAUUUUUAAAUGAAAUGAAUAGUUUGAAUGAUCGUAAAAACAACAAUACAAAAUCUAAUAAAAAAAUAGCACAAAAAAAAAAAAGAAAUUAAAUAAAAAUAAAAGUGCUAAUUUGUCCCACUAUCACGUGCGGGUUGCAGUUUACACCUAUGUAUGAAUGGGUCAUAUAACUACAAAACGAUUAAAUUUCAAAAUUAAAUAAAAUUUUUUUGUUGUUGUUUAUGUUCUAUAUAAUGUUUAUUUAUAAUGCGUGACUGUGACGUGUUUUGAACGCGCUCUGAGUCUCAUUCAAACUCUGCAGGGAGGGAGUUACCAUGGAAACGGGGCGGCAACUCUCCAACUGACAGCUGCAACACUGCGUCUCUCGCUGCUGUUUUCACCGUCUUCAGGAGUAACACUUCUACAACAGAAGAGAAGCUCCAACAUAUCUAAAUUUCUGAAGGAAGCUGCUGACAGAGAUGUGGGAAACAUAGGUUUCCCAUCCCAGAGUUACUACAGCUUGGAUCCAGCCUCACUUGUGGUGACUUCAGAUGAUGCCAACACUCAUGAAGACCCAGAUGAUAGCAACUAUAGAUGAACAUACCAACCUGACAAAUGUUAUGUAUUGUAAUCAUUGCCUUAAAGCAUACAUCGAGUGAUUUUCAACCCACUUUGUAUUGUUACUAUGAUGGUAAUAUAUGUGAACGAACAAUGUUUAAUCUUUCUCUGAGUUCCAUGAGAUAUACCUAUUUAUUUGUCAGCCAAAUAAUAUUUAGCAUUAUCCGAGUAUUGUUUAUUUACAUAUUACAGACUUUGUGACAGUAUAAAGUGGAUUUAAAUUCACCAAAUUUACCCUUUAAUGGUUGUCUGUUUAAAUUAACAUGACUUUGAACACAUAACUUAUAUUAUCUUAGAGUUAUUGACAUAUAGACAUUAAUUUGUUGCCAGAAGAUGCUCCCCAUUGAGUCACAGUCACCUCAUGCUGUUGAUAGGAUUUUUUUUUUGAAACCUUGAAAUUUUCUAAAGCUGCUUUGAUUGUGAUAAGCAGUGUACCCUUACAACAGUUAACCAUGUUUUUACUAUGGUAAAACUAGUAAUCAUAACUGUAGUAAUCAGGGCUUUUUAGUUUUUCUCAAACUAAGGUUUUGAUACCAUGGUUCUACAAUAGUAAUAUUUUAGUAAUGCUGGAGUAAAACUGUGGUAACCAUAGUUUUUGAAACCAUGGUGAAGUUUGUAGUUACUAUAGGUUUACUACUAUGCUGUAGUAAGACCAUGGUUAUGGUAGUUACUGUGAAUUUACUACAACAAUCAUAGAUAAACCAUGGUUAAUUUUGUGGUUGACUUUUGUAUGGACAUAUGUGAAUUGAAUGCUUCUAUUUGAAAGUCACAUUGGAUAAAACCAUCUGAUAAAUAUACUGUAUGCAUUUGUAUGUUUAAUCUGUUCACUGAAAAUAAAUUUGCAAUUGUCAUUGUACAUUGUUUUUGAUCCAUUAUUGUGUGCAAGGAUAUUUUGGUUAGCGUAAUCGAACUGAUUAUGAGCCACGGACCGACCGUGGACCGCCAGUAAACAGUAAUUAUAAACCAGCGGCUCGUCAGCGGACCGCUGUCGGAAAAGCGGUGGCUGCCGCUGGUGGUCCGCUGGAAUAACGAUGAGCAAAACGCCGGUGAACCGUGGGCGGCAUCCGCCGGUGGGCUGCCGACUCUGCCACCAGUGGCCCGCUGGUCUUAUGUUAGCUGGGUUCCUUCGGCUGCUGUUGUAGGAUCCAGUUGCUAUGGAGGUGGUCGGUGCUCUGAGACGCGCAAUUAGGACAGCGCAUAAGCAUUGACUGGUCAGCCUGAGAAAACGCAAUUUCGUGAUUUGUGUGCUUAGAAAGCAUUAUGAGACAGUCAUUGUCAGAUUUAUUGGCAAUUUUUAUGAAGAUGUUUAGUCAGAGACUUGGUGAUAACCUUUGAUGGAGUAGUGUUUCCCCGUUCAAGGAUAGAGGAGCUGAGCUGUUUAACUGAGAGACGUUUCAAGGACUGAUUCGCAUGAUAUGACUCGCCUAGAAGGGACUUUGAUGACAGACAUUUCAAUGGCUACAUGUGACUUCA